rnacentral:rRNA from 1 species
GACCUACGGGGGGCAGCAGUAGGGAAUCUUCCACAAUGGACGAAAGUCUGAUGGAGCAACGCCGCGUGAGUGAAGAAGGGUUUCGGGUCGUAAAGCUCUGUCCUCAAGGAAGAUAAUGACGGUACUUGAGGAGGAAGCCCCGGCUAACUACGUGCCAGCAGCCGCGGUAAUACGUAGGGGGCUAGCGUUAUCCGGAAUUACUGGGCGUAAAGGGUGCGUAGGUGGUUUCUUAAGUCAGAGGUGAAAGGCUACGGCUCAACCGUAGUAAGCCUUUGAAACUGGGGGACUUGAGUGCAGGAGAGGAG